UGCCAAGGGAGCAAGGUGUCGGUCGGCGAGGCGAAGCUCUGCCACAGCACCGCGCCGCCCGAGUCUCUGAUGACGAGGUUUCCGGUCUCCAGCAGCGCGGCCGUCGACCUGUCGUCGCCCGCGCCCCCGCUGCUCGCCCACACCGCCGAGCCGUUGGCGUCGGCCAGGACGAGGUAG
rnacentral:rRNA from 1 species